AGAGUUUGAUCCUGGCUCAGGAUGAACGCUAGCGGCAGGCUUAACACAUGCAAGUCGAGGGGCAGCGGGGAGGAAGCUUGCUUUCUCCGCCGGCGACCGGCGCACGGGUGAGUAACACGUAUGCAACCUGCCCCUGUCAGGGGGACAACCCGCCGAAAGGCGGGCUAAACCCGCGUACAUGCCACCGGGGCAUCCCGGAGGCAGGAAAGGCUUCGGCCGGACAGGGAUGGGCAUGCGGCGCAUUAGGCAGUAGGCGGGGUAACGGCCCACCUAACCGACGAUGCGUAGGGGUUCUGAGAGGAAGGUCCCCCACACUGGUACUGAGACACGGACCAGACUCCUACGGGAGGCAGCAGUGAGGAAUAUUGGUCAAUGGUCGGGAGACUGAACCAGCCAAGCCGCGUGAGGGAGGAAGGUACAGAGUAUCGUAAACCUCUUUUGUCAGGGAACAAAGACUGGGACGCGUCCCCGGAUGAGUGUACCUGAAGAAAAAGCAUCGGCUAACUCCGUGCCAGCAGCCGCGGUAAUACGGAGGAUGCGAGCGUUAUCCGGAUUUAUUGGGUUUAAAGGGUGCGCAGGCGGUCUGUUAAGUCAGCGGUCAAAGCCCGGGGCUCAACCCCGGCCCGCCGUUGAAACUGGCAGUCUCGAGUUGGAGAGAAGUAUGCGGAAUGCGCGGUGUAGCGGUGAAAUGCAUAGAUAUCGCGCAGAACUCCGAUUGCGAAGGCAGCAUGCCGGCUCCACACUGACGCUGAGGCACGAAAGCGUGGGUAUCGAACAGGAUUAGAUACCCUGGUAGUCCACGCAGUAAACGAUGAAUGCUGGCUGUCCGGGGGGACUGACCCCUGGGUGGCGAAGCGAAAGCGAUAAGCAUUCCACCUGGGGAGUACGCCGGCAACGGUGAAACUCAAAGGAAUUGACGGGGGCCCGCACAAGCGGAGGAACAUGUGGUUUAAUUCGAUGAUACGCGAGGAACCUUACCCGGGCUCAAACGGGGAGUGGCGCAGGCAGAGACGCCUGUUUCCCACGGGACACUCCCCGAGGUGCUGCAUGGUUGUCGUCAGCUCGUGCCGUGAGGUGUCGGCUUAAGUGCCAUAACGAGCGCAACCCCCGCGUGCAGUUGCUAACAGUCAACGCUGAGGACUCUGCACGGACUGCCGGCGCAAGCCGCGAGGAAGGCGGGGAUGACGUCAAAUCAGCACGGCCCUUACGUCCGGGGCGACACACGUGUUACAAUGGGUGGUACAGCGGGAAGCCAGGCGGCGACGCCGAGCGGAACCCGAAAUCCACUCUCAGUUCGGAUUGGAGUCUGCAACCCGACUCCGUGAAGCUGGAUUCGCUAGUAAUCGCGCAUCAGCCAUGGCGCGGUGAAUACGUUCCCGGGCCUUGCACUCACCGCCCGUCAAG
rnacentral:rRNA from 1 species